CAACCAUAAGGCUUUACUACUGCCUAAAUUCAAUCUAAGUAACCCCCCAUAUUCACCCUCAUUAAUCCUAAUAAAACCUAAUAACUUGCUGCCCAAAACCCUUUCACUUCCCCUUCUUUCACAUACAAUAAAAAGCCAAAACUCAUCAGUUUUUCUCCACCAAAAGAUGCAGCAACUCACCCCUCUUCUCUCCAUCUUUUUCGUGGGAUUCAACGUGGAAAUCAAAGGGAAAACAAAGCCUAACUUGCUGCUAUAAUCUCUGCAAUUUCGUGCUCCAUCUCUUCUCUAAAACAGCACAAAAACGAAGCAAGGGAGCAAGGCUGCUUGGGUGGAUGAUUGUUCGUGUGUUUGCUGCUGUUUGUGCUUGGUGUUGCUGCCCUUUUCUUUGGGUUUUGAUGGCCUAUACAUCAAGACCUAGGUAAAGCUUGGCUUUGCCAAUCGAAGUUAGGUAGUCUCCCGUUCAGGCGUAAUUCCGCUAACGCUUUCAGUUCUAAAAGAACAGCGUGUUGUUGCAGAGCUGUGGGAGGAAAAAAGAAGGGUGCUAAGGAUCGUGCUACAUCCAGAUGGUGAUGCGGGAGGAACUGAAAAAAAAAGAUAGAGAAAGAGAAGGCGGAGAAAGAAAAGGAGGGUGCUGAGAAGAAAACUGAGGGAGAUUCUCACUAAAACUAUAGCAGAUUCAGAGUCUUGCAGUUUCUCUGAUUGCUUCGUGGGAAAUAAAUGUAUAUUGUACUCAAGUGAAUCUGUAUGUCCUGUAUAGCUUGCCUAGACAUUGGGUACAAUAUUGUUCAUGAACUUGUUGUAUCAGUUGUCCCUGGUUUGAGAUUCUGUUAUAUGCGAUCUUACUUAGUUGAGAACCUGAGACUGUUAUGUACUGUACAAUCUUGUUUAAUGAGUUCAGGCAAGUUGUCUUCUUUGUUUGGUUAU